GGGAGAAGGCUCGGGUUACGGGGCAGUGGUGUUAUUUCAGAAAUCCUUGUCACCUCGUGUCAUCCACCCUCUCCGAGAAUCACAGUCCCACCUUGGGGGAGAGGGACAAAAGCCACGGCCAGGCAGGCCGGAGGCCAGCGGGGCCAGCCCACCGGCCGGCGCACGCACGGAGGCCAGGGCCAGGGUGCCCUCCAUUCCGGCUCGCGGGCACCGGGUGGCAGGGCCCGAGGAACGCUCCCGAGACCCGGCGGCAGCGCCCAGGGGCAACAGACCCGGGGUGACAAAUCCUUGGAUACCAGCUAGGAGGAGCUGCCCACAGCAGGUUAAGUUUAAGGAGCGUCGUCUCUGCCCUCCGCUCCCUCCGGGGAAAGACCCCCGGUGCGGAAUCCCUGGGAAAACCUGGAAGGAGCCGCCUACAGCAAGUAGUGAAGCUUGAGAAGGACCGUCUCUGUCUGCAGUCUCCUCUCCUCCGGGGAAAGACCGGGGCUUUAAAACCGCUUGAAAUAAGCCCAGCACUUGCUCCAUUAGUUUGAGAAAAGCCUCUUUUAUUCGCUCCUGCCGCUUUGGACGAAAGCCCUGGUUAAUGCCCUGUCCUCCCUCCCUCCCCGCGGGGAUCUCCCUUAAAAGCUUUUGAAAGGGACUGGAGAGGAGGCAGCCGCAGCCUGCUCGGGGCUGCUGCCACAGAGGGCGGCCAGCAUUUCACUCUCACCGACCAUGGCAACCCCAGAAGCUUUGCAACUCCUGGGAGGAAUUUGCAGCUGUCAGGGAAGCCCUGCGUUUUGCAGCGACUCCGAGGUGGAUAAGGGGCCCCAGGGCUUCCUCGUCCUGCGGGGUAGAAUGGAAUAAUCGGGAGGGCGACCCCUUUGCUGACCUUUAUUCAAAGCACUGUGCUGCUGAAAACAACAGGCUCGCACAGAGUAUAUAUACAGGCAGGGAGCUACGUUGGAAAUGCUCGAAGUUCGGACAAAGUAAAUUUAUCUGCUGGCCCCUC